rnacentral:rRNA from 1 species
CCUACGGGAGGCAGCAGUGGGGAAUAUUGGACAAUGGGCGGAAGCCUGAUCCAGCAACGCCGCGUGAGGGAUGACGGCCUUCGGGUUGUAAACCUCUUUCAGUACCGACGAAGCGAAAGUGACGGUAGGUACAGAAGAAGCACCGGCCAACUACGUGCCAGCAGCCGCGGUAAUACGUAGGGUGCGAGCGUUGUCCGGAAUUAUUGGGCGUAAAGGGCUCGUAGGCGGUUUGUCGCGUCGGGAGUGAAAACACUGGGCUUAACUCAGUGCUUGCUUUCGAUACGGGCAGACUAGAGGUAUGCAGGGGAGAACGGAAUUCCUGGUGUAGCGGUGAAAUGCGCAGAUAUCAGGAGGAACACCGGUGGCGAAGGCGGUUCUCUGGGCAUUACCUGACGCUGAGGAGCGAAAGUGUGGGGAGCGAACAGGAUUAGAUACCCUGGUAGUCCACACCGUAAACGUUGGGCGCUAGGUGUGGGGUCCAUUCCACGGAUUCCGUGCCGCAGCUAACGCAUUAAGCGCCCCGCCUGGGGAUACGGCCGCAAGGCUAAAACUCAAAUGAAUUGACGGCUGAGACGNGCGACGACGACGACGAGGAGAGG